UGGGGAAUCUUGCACAAUGGGGGCAACCCUGAUGCAGCGACGCCGCGUGAGCGAUGAAGCCCUUCGGGGUGUAAAGCUCUUUCGGCAGGGAAGAGCCUAGGGUUAAUACCCCUGAGUCUUGACGUAACCUACAGAAGAAGCACCGGCUAACUCC
rnacentral:rRNA from 1 species